UAGUGCAUGGGAACAUUGUUGCGUCUCUUAAUUGCUCAGUAUCGCGCCUGUACACUCGCAAUUCUCCAAGAUGUUUGGUUUCGCGAUGAUAAUUAAAAAUUAAUAGUCCCGGUAAGUGCAUAAGGAUAACACACACUGCGGCCGCUAUCACGCUCAAGUGAUUAAGCUUUACGGCACCGAGGAUGACGCAAGGAAUGCAACAGAAAAACGACCAUCCAUUCCGCAGACCCGAUUGCGACUCCUCCGAUAGCUGCAGUUCAAAUGAAGGGGACAAUGAGUCGGUUAAAAAACAAAGAACCUUGUCCUUUGCGGAUGUUGCAGCCGCAAGCCUCAAAAACAGAAACGACUUGCACCUUUGCCACCACUAUGUGCUGCCACGCUGGAACCGCCACAGCGAUCACGGACAGCCCUGAAGUAGCCCAGUCAAGUGUGAGGGAGGCUGCACUGCUUAUCAAUUAUGUGCCCACUGACAGAGAGGUGCAUCGGAGCAAAGGAAUUGCCGUUCCCAAGAGAUUGUACAAUCACCCCAUGGGCUUGAAAAGACAGACCCGUUUUGUUCGUGAGGCGGCCGUUACCAUUUUUUUAUACAGCAGGCCAAGUCGGUAGAAGUGUUACUGGCGCAGCCUCCAAUCUGUCUAAAGGAGAGGCGAAAUCUCCCAAGGAGAAAAAAACAUAUGCUGUGUUUUCAGAUUUCUUCAACCUUUUUUUUGAAGCACACCGUUCUGAUUGGAGAGGUUGAGCAAAUGAAGAAACUCCUCAAUAAAGCUUUGGCAAAGAAGAUUAAUGACUUUAUGAAAUCAAAACAUUAACCAAGGAAUGGCACAUCAAAUAAAAUAUUUUGUUUGAUUUCUGUGUUCA